UAAAGCGGGUGAAAAGCCCGCUCGCCGGAAGACCAAGGGUUCCUGUCCAACGUUAAUCGGGGCAGGGUGAGUCGACCCCUAAGGCGAGGCCGAAAGGCGUAGUCGAUGGGAAACAGGUUAAUAUUCCUGUACUUGGUGUUACUGCGAAGGGGGGACGGAGAAGGCUAUGUUGGCCGGGCGACGGUUGUCCCGGUUUAAGCGUGUAGGCUGGUUUUCCAGGCAAAUCCGGAAAACCAAGGCUGAGGCGUGAUGACGAGGCACUACGGUGCUGAAGCGACAAAUGCCCUGCUUCCAGGAAAAGCCUCUAAGCAUCAGGUAACAUCAAAUCGUACCCCAAACCGACACAGGUGGUCAGGUAGAGAAUACCAAGGCGCUUGAGAGAACUCGGGUGAAGGAACUAGGCAAAAUGGUGCCGUAACUUCGGGAGAAGGCACGCUGAUAUGUAGGUGAAGCGACUUGCUCGUGGAGCUGAAAUCAGUCGAAGAUACCAGCUGGCUGCAACUGUUUAUUAAAAACACAGCACUGUGCAAACACGAAAGUGGACGUAUACGGUGUGACGCCUGCCCGGUGCCGGAAGGUUAAUUGAUGGGGUUAGCGGUAACGCGAAGCUCUUGAUCGAAGCCCCGGUAAACGGCGGCCGUAACUAUAACGGUCCUAAGGUAGCGAAAUUCCUUGUCGGGUAAGUUCCGACCUGCACGAAUGGCGUAAUGAUGGCCAGGCUGUCUCCACCCGAGACUCAGUGAAAUUGAACUCGCUGUGAAGAUGCAGUGUACCCGCGGCAAGACGGAAAGACCCCGUGAACCUUUACUAUAGCUUGACACUGAACAUUGAGCCUUGAUGUGUAGGAUAGGUGGGAGGCUUUGAAGUGUGGACGCCAGUCUGCAUGGAGCCGACCUUGAAAUACCACCCUUUAAUGUUUGAUGUUCUAACGUUGGCCCGUAAUCCGGGUUGCGGACAGUGUCUGGUGGGUAGUUUGACUGGGGCGGUCUCCUCCUAAAGAGUAACGGAGGAGCACGAAGGUUGGCUAAUCCUGGUCGGACAUCAGGAGGUUAGUGCAAUGGCAUAAGCCAGCUUGACUGCGAGCGUGACGGCGCGAGCAGGUGCGAAAGCAGGUCAUAGUGAUCCGGUGGUUCUGAAUGGAAGGGCCAUCGCUCAACGGAUAAAAGGUACUCCGGGGAUAACAGGCUGAUACCGCCCAAGAGUUCAUAUCGACGGCGGUGUUUGGCACCUCGAUGUCGGCUCAUCACAUCCUGGGGCUGAAGUAGGUCCCAAGGGUAUGGCUGUUCGCCAUUUAAAGUGGUACGCGAGCUGGGUUUAGAACGUCGUGAGACAGUUCGGUCCCUAUCUGCCGUGGGCGCUGGAGAACUGAGGGGGGCUGCUCCUAGUACGAGAGGACCGGAGUGGACGCAUCACUGGUGUUCGGGUUGUCAUGCCAAUGGCACUGCCCGGUAGCUAAAUGCGGAAGAGAUAAGUGCUGAAAGCAUCUAAGCACGAAACUUGCCCCGAGAUGAGUUCUCCCUGACUCCUUGAGAGUCCUGAAGGAACGUUGAAGACGACGACGUUGAUAGGCCGGGUGUGUAAGCGCAGCGAUGCGUUGAGCUAACCGGUACUA
rnacentral:rRNA from 1 species